rnacentral:rRNA from 1 species
GGCGAACGGGUGAGUAACACGUGAGUAACCUGCCCUGGACUCUGGGAUAACCCCGAGAAAUCGGAGCUAAUACCGGAUAGGACCUGGAACCGCAUGGUUUUGGGUGGAAAGUUUUUCGGUCUGGGAUGGACUCGCGGCCUAUCAGCUUGUUGGUGAGGUAAUGGCUCACCAAGGCGUCGACGGGUAGCCGGCCUGAGAGGGUGACCGGCCACACUGGGACUGAGACACGGCCCAGACUCCUACGGGAGGCAGCAGUGGGGAAUAUUGCACAAUGGGCGCAAGCCUGAUGCAGCAACGCCGCGUGAGGGAUGACGGCCUUCGGGUUGUAAACCUCUUUUAGUAGGGAAGAAGGGCUUCGGCUUGACGGUACCUGCAGAAAAAGCACCGGCUAACUACGUGCCAGCAGCCGCGGUAAUACGUAGGGUGCGAGCGUUGUCCGGAAUUAUUGGGCGUAAAGAGCUCGUAGGCGGUUUGUCACGUCUGCUGUGAAAUCCCGAGGCUCAACCUCGGGCCUGCAGUGGGUACGGGCAGACUGGAGUGCGGUAGGGGAGAAUGGAAUUCCUGGUGUAGCGGUGGAAUGCGCAGAUAUCAGGAGGAACACCGAUGGCGAAGGCAGUUCUCUGGGCCGUAACUGACGCUGAGGAGCGAAAGCGUGGGGAGCGAACAGGAUUAGAUACCCUGGUAGUCCACGCCGUAAACGUUGGGCGCUAGAUGUGGGGACCUUUCCACGGUUUCCGUGUCGUAGCUAACGCAUUAAGCGCCCGCCUGGGGAGUACGGCCGCAAGGCUAAACUCAAAGGAAUUGACGGGGGCCCGCACAAGCGGCGGAGCAUGCGGAUUAAUUCGAUGCAACGCGAAGAACCUUACCAAGGCUUGACAUAACCGAGAACGCCGCAGAAAUGUGGAACUCUUUGGACACUCGGUUACAGGUGGUGCAUGGUUGUCGUCAGCUCGUGUCGUGAGAUGUUGGGUUAAGUCCCGCAACGAGCGCAACCCUCGUCGUAUGUUGCCAGCACGUCAUGGUGGGAACUCAUAUGAGACUGCCGGGGUCAACUCGGAGGAAGGUGGGGAUGACGUCAAAUCAUCAUGCCCCUUAUGUCUUGGGCUUCACGCAUGCUACAAUGGCCGGUACAAAGGGCUGCGAUGUCGUAAGGCGGAGCGAAUCCCAAAAAGCCGGUCUCAGUUCGGAUUGAGGUCUGCAACUCGACCUCAUGAAGUCGGAGUCGCUAGUAAUCGCAGAUCAGCAACGCUGCGGUGAAUACGUUCCCGGGCCUUGUACACACCGCCCGUCAAGUCAUGAAAGUCGG